rnacentral:sRNA from 1 species
UUGCCCUUUUUUUUAGGAGUGUUCCCUGGAAAAGAGGGACGGAUGAACCUGGAAGGCCAAAUCCUUGUAGCUGUCUUCUUGCCCCGGUCAGUGCCAGCCGUACUAUUCACAACACUGCUGCUACCGAGGCCUAGGAUCAGUUCUUAAGAGCAGCCCCGGUAACUGGAGGAAUGGGAGCCGUUUUGAUGAGAAAAAUGGGCUGGAGAGAAGGAGAAGGAUUAGGAAAAAACAAAGAAGGCAAUAAGGAACCCAUCCUAGUUGAUUUUAAGACAGACCGAAAAGGUCUUGUUGCAGUAGGAGAAAGAGCACAAAAGAGGUCUGGGAACUUCUCUGCUGCAAUGAAAGAUCUGUCAGGCAAACAUCCUGUGUCUGCUUUGAUGGAGAUCUGUAAUAAAAGAAGGUGGCAACCACCUGAAUUUCUAUUGGUCCAUGAUAGUGGCCCUGAUCAUCGCAAACAUUUUCUCUUUAGGGUAUUGAGAAAUGGAAGCCCUUACCAGCCCAAUUGUAUGUUUUUCUUGAAUAGGUAUUGAUAAAUGGAAGCGCUUACCAGCCCAGCUUUGCCAGCCCUAAUAAGA